rnacentral:tRNA from 1 species
GUAGAUAUAGUUUAAAAAAAACAUUAGAUUGUGAAUCUAACGACAGAGAAUUACACCCUCUUAUCUACC